AUUGAACGCUGGCGGCAUGCUUUACACAUGCAAGUCGAACGGUAACAGGCCGCAAGGUGCUGACGAGUGGCGAACGGGUGAGUAAUGCAUCGGAACGUGCCCAGUCGUGGGGGAUAACUGCUCGAAAGAGCAGCUAAUACCGCAUACGAUCUAUGGAUGAAAGCGGGGGACCGUAAGGCCUCGCGCGAUUGGAGCGGCCGAUGUCAGAUUAGGUAGUUGGUGGGGUAAAGGCUCACCAAGCCAACGAUCUGUAGCUGGUCUGAGAGGACGACCAGCCACACUGGGACUGAGACACGGCCCAGACUCCUACGGGAGGCAGCAGUGGGGAAUUUUGGACAAUGGGGGCAACCCUGAUCCAGCAAUGCCGCGUGCAGGAAGAAGGCCUUCGGGUUGUAAACUGCUUUUGUACGGAACGAAACGGUCUGGGUUAAUACCCUGGGCUAAUGACGGUACCGUAAGAGUAAGCACCGGCUAACUACGUGCCAGCCGCCGCGGUAACAC
rnacentral:rRNA from 1 species